rnacentral:rRNA from 1 species
GACGAACGCUGGCGGCGUGCUUAACACAUGCAAGUCGAACGGAAAGGCCCUGCUUUUGUGUGGUGCUCGAGUGGCGAACGGGUGAGUAACACGUGAGUAACCUGCCCUUGACUUUGGGAUAACUUCAGGAAACUGGGGCUAAUACCGGAUAGGAGCUCCUGCUGCAUGGUGGGGGUUGGAAAGUUUCGGCGGUUGGGGAUGGACUCGCGGCUUAUCAGCUUGUUGGUGGGGUAGUGGCUUACCAAGGCUUUGACGGGUAGCCGGCCUGAGAGGGUGACCGGCCACAUUGGGACUGAGAUACGGCCCAGACUCCUACGGGGGGCAGCAGUGGGGAAUAUUGCACAAUGGGCGGAAGCCUGAUGCAGCAACGCCGCGUGCGGGAUGAAGGCCUUCGGGUUGUAAACCGCUUUCGCCUGUGACGAAGCGUGAGUGACGGUAAUGGGUAAAGAAGCACCGGCUAACUACGUG